UAGGCGUGACAAAGCAAGCCCUUAUAACCUAUCCUUGACAGUGUCUCUAGUAUGCCACUCAACUAUUUUUCAACCCUCUGUAUACUUUUCUAAUUCUUUGCCUUUGCACAUGAGUUUUCUCUGUCUAGACAGUAUCACCCUACAUCCUUCCACCCCAUGCCUUGCCUCUGACCAGGUCCUUUCCACCUGGUAAACUUUUAUACAUCUUGCAAACCUACCAUAAAUGAUGUAUUUCUGUGAAGCCUGAUAAUUAUUUGUACAUAUUUCUACCAAAUGCACUUAAAUGACUAUAUUGUGAACAUCUUUAACUUAUUGUUUGUUAUAUCAUAGUUAAGAUCGUGAUGUCUAUUAGAUGUUCUGUUGAAGUAAGAACUAGAGAAAACCCCCCCACCCCGGCUGAAAAGGCAGCUACACACCUGUCAGCAGUUUUGCUCUCCACAUACCACCCUUCUUGCAAUCAUGUAGCAACUACGUUCCUUAUGUCCUUGCUAGCAGCCCUGCUAAUCGUGCUCCAAGCAUUGCUUAUCACAUACUAUUAUAUAUAAAAUAGAUAGCUAACAAGGACCAAGUAUAGCACAGGGAGCUAUAUUCAGUAUGUUGUAAUAACCUCUACUGGAAAAGAAUCUGAAACAGAAUAGCCUAUAUACAUUAUAUAUAUGUAUAUAUACAUAUAUACUGUAUAUGCAUAUAUUGCUCUAUUCUUGAAACAAACACACCAUUGUAAAUCAACUGUACCUCGAUUCAAAAAUAAAGAUUUUUUUAAAAAUAUUUUAAAAGCAAAAAGAACAGGUCUCAUUGUGGGCAGAGGGAACAGCCUGAGCAAAGUUCUAAGACUCGGCCAGGCAGUGUCUGAAGGAAGCAGGUAAACCAAUGUGAGUGGAGGAUGGCUACACGUAAAGCCAGCAGGCAGAAAGGUCCAGGUGGUGGAGGGCCUUGAGUGCUGGACUGAGGGGCAGUUGACUUCUUUCCAGAACUGCUCAGCUGCUGCAAUCCCUUUGGACAAUUGUGCCUGCUGAUUUUCUCACACCGUGAUCCACUUGCUGUACAUUUAAAAGAAGCCCGCCCCACCAAUGGGAACACACAUGUGAGGAGCACAGUGCGUGAAGCUGUGCCAGGCCUCCCAUUAUUCCCCAGAGAAGCUAACCGCCAUACUCACCAAGGACAGCAGAGCCCCUGAGCUCUGCACAGCCCUCUCCAGGGCUCCAGUAACACAGACCAUCCCUGCCUGUUACCUCUGGCUCUACUGCAUGGCGCAUAGCUGGUGCAGAGAGGAGCCACCAUUUCAUGUCAUCUUCCAAUUUCACCUGUCAAUUUAUCAAAGAGAGGGACUUUCUGAGCAGAGCUUCGGCUUCUUAUAAAUGCAUGCCAUCACCGCUCAUCACGCUAAACUCCAUUGUUUGUGCAAAAAUAGGGUUUGGUGUGGAAAGCUGUAAUCAAAAAUAAUUUACUUUUAUUUAUCUUAUUUUUUUUUUGAAACAAGCAAGUUUUGGGAGGACAGGUACAUCUUGUCUAAGAGACAAAGUCCUGUGAGCUGGCUGAGGAGCUGUCUGAAGAACAAUGCUUCUCUAUAAGCAGUUUGUCACAACUGGUUAGUUUUUAAUACUAUGGAGGUUUCAUUAUGUCCUUUGGAAUUGCAGAGUGUUUAGAGUAGAUGUGUGUUUCUUUGUAGAAGGUAUGCUUUCUGGGAGUAAUAUUGUGGGGCCAUUUUCCUCUCUAAUGCCUCAAAUUCGGCUCUAUUUUUAGCCACUCUAGCACCAAAGAUGAUCUAGAGUCACCUUGUGUACUGCUUUAGCCACUGGCUACAUGUGGCUAUUGGGCACUUAAAAUGUGGCAAAGUGACUAAAGAUUCAUUUUUUUUUAAAGUUCAGUUAAUUUUUCAAAUUUAAAAACUGGUAUUUGGAAUUCCUGCUGUGCUCCAAUGGGAUUGGUGGAAUUUCUGCAGCACCAGGACACAGGUUCAAUCCAUGCCCCACACAGUGAGUUAAAGGAUCUGGUGUUGCUGCAGCCACAGGGUAGGUUGCAACAGUGGCUCCGAACUGAUCCCUGGCCCAGGAACUCCAUAUGCUGUGGUGUGGCCAAAAAAGGAAAAAAUAAAAACAAAACCCUAAUAUUUGAUUCAGUUAUUGAGACUUUCUGUUAUUGGAUAUACUUGUUUAUGUGAACCUCCUUUUAUUAAAAUUAAAAUUUUUGUGUUGUAAAUUUGCAUGCAGUAAGAAAUAGGACAGAGGAAUCUCAUGUCUCUUUUAUGCAGUUUGUCCAAUGAUAACAUCUUGCAAAAUUACAGCACCAGAUCAUCAGCAGGAUAUUGACAUUGAUGUUACUGGAUUCAGAGCACUUCCAUUACCACAACUAUCCCUGAUGUGUACUUUUCUACUCUUCUAGUCACUUCCACAUCCUCCAUACACCCCCCAUCCCUGACCUUGGCACCCACUAAUCUAUUCUCCUUUCCUACAGUUGUGUCAUUCCAAGAAUGCUGUAGAAAUGGAAUCACAUACGUAGAAUCUUUUUGAGUCUGUGUUCUUUCACUUAAUUCAUUUGAGACUUAUCAAUGUUGUUUCCAUACUUCAAUACUUAGUUCCUUUUUAUGCUAAGUAAUAUACCACCAUUGGUGUAACCAUUGACUUGUUGAAGGACACCUGCAGUUUUUCCAGGUUCAGGCUAUUAUGAAUAAAGCUAUAACAAACAUUUUUAUACAGAUUUUUGUGUGAACACAAUUUUUUAUUUAAAUGGAUAAAUGCCAAGGAGUGCAAGGUCAUAUAGUAGUUGCAUGUUAGUUUUAUGAGAAACUGCCAAAUUGUUUUCAGGGUCACUGUACCAUUUUGCAUUUCUAUCACCAGUGUAUGAGUGAGCCAGUUUCGUUGCAUCUUGGCCAGCAUUUAGUGUUGUCACUUGUCACUAUUUUUUGUUUUAUUCAUUCUGAUAGGUAUGUAGUGUGUGUCUACUUUUCCAACUGUAAAGUUUAUGAAUUCUACAUAGAAAUCACGUAGUGAAAGUUUAGCAUCCAAAGUGAAAUAUGCAUAAGUAUAGAAUCUAUCCUGGAUUUUGAAGACUUGAUACUAAAAAUGUAAAAUAUCUCAACAUUUUUUUUAUAUUUGAUAACAUGUUGAAAGGCUUAUGGGAUACAUUGGCUUAGAUGAAAUAUAUUUUUUGUAAUUAAUUUAAUCUGUUUUUUUGUGGCUACUAGAAAAUGUCAAAUUACGUGGUGGCUCACACCAUGUUUCUAUUGGCAAUGGUGGUCUAGACUAAUUGGAUCACAGAGCCCACUGGGCCUCUUGAUGGAGGACCUAAUUUUAUUUAUUGCAGGAGUCAAUAGACAUAUUCUGUGAGAGGCCAGCUGGUAAAUAUUUUAGACAAUGUGUGCCGUAAAGAUACAUAAACUUUAUGUUCUCAGAGCCCAUCUGGUGGGAACCAGUGCCAUGUUGGGAACUGCCAUUAAGGGCUGGGACUGAAGAGGGAAUGGCUGCUCUGUGGGACGAGGCUCAGGAGGAAGUCCAGUGGCUGCCCCUACCUUUUGCAUCUCCAGUCUACCACAGGUGCCUUGCAGGGGGUGGUCCUACAUCAGAAAGGGAAGCUGAGAAAUGUGGUACCCUACAGCGCAGAGCAGAGCCUGGGAUGCAUGGGGAAGACACCUGAGAGCAAUGCCUUUUCAGUGCACAGAUUAGACCUAAAAUUAAAGGAGAGUACGGAGCUUUGAGCUAGCCUAGUGCCCAAGAGCAGCAUUUUGUGCCACACAUUUCCUUCCUUCCUGGCACUCUUUUUAGUGGUUUUGCUAUUUAAUCCCUCAGGGAAGAUGGUUAGUCAAGAAAGAAUAAGAUAAAAGGCCCGAGGACUAGAGUCUUCCGAUGGAGUUAUCAGUUCUGUCAGUAAAUCAUCAGGAGCAGGGAAGAUGUGAUGGCAGUGAUGGAAUGUGACCUGGCAGUGUGUCGCUGAAGGAAGUGAAAAGGCCAUUGAUGGUAUAUGGGUUCAUCUUUGAAAUGACAGCCAUCCAUUGAAGAGUCCCUUCUUUUGUCCUCACUGUUUCCCGUAUGGGUGUUUUCCAGACAUUGAUAACAUUCACUUAUUUGCAUUUGUUUAAAGAGAGAGAUUGCUCCCCACCCCCUGCCUUUUUUAUAUGUAUUUCUGUGGUGGGUAGUGUUCCUGAACUCAAGAUCUAUUGUCUCACUUUCUUCUCAGGACAGGCUUUCCUGACUGUAGAUGGAUUUGGGGAGAACAGUCUAGGUGUGUGUGGCCCAGGCCCUUCUGGGCUGGUUUCUCAGAAAGCAUGCACGGCCAUGUUCGGGGUUAUGUGUUUAGGGUCCUCACUACGGUGUCAGCCUGCUUUGGUUGAGAGCAGCCUGUGACAGGGAAGGAGGUGGGGCUUAGUAUUAGUGAGGGUUCUUAGUUGAGCAUCUAAAUUUAUAUCCUCUAAUCAGCAUCCGUGUUCAUCAUACAUGUGCUAUUUAGAUCUCUGUGUAAGUUGCUCCCUGAAUUUGUUUUCUCAGUUGAUUUAAAAUUUAAAAGGAAAAGGGAGAUGUGGUAUUUUUCUCUAAAACCUCCAAAAUUAAGCAACCCCCCCUUCUUAAAAUAGGGAUGACCUGAAAGCCAAAAAUCAUGUAUUAGCAUACCUAUAUUAAAAGUUGGGAGUUCCCAUCAUGGCUCAGCAGAAACAAAUCUGACUAGGAACCACGAGGUUGCGAGUUCGAUCCCUAGCCUUGCUCAGUGGGUUAAAGAUCUGGUGUUGCCGUCAGCUGUGGUGUAGGUCACAGACAGGCUUGGAUCUGGCAUUGCUGUGGCUGUGGCUGUGGCCGGCAGCAACAGCUCCGAUUAGACCCCUAGCCUGG
rnacentral:lncRNA from 1 species